AAUUUUGGGCAAUGGCCGAAAGGCUGACCCAGCGACGCCGCGUGUGGGAGGAAGCCCUUCGGGGUGUAAACCACUGUCAGGGGGGACGAAAGAGCGGGGCGGGAAUACUGCUUCGCAGUGACGGUACCCCCCAAGGAAGCACCGGCUAACUCUGUGCCAGCAGCCGCGGUAAUACAGAGGGUGCAAGCGUUGUUCGGAAUCACUGGGCGUAAAGCGCGCGCAGGCGGAACUGCAAGUCGGAAGUGAAAUCCAGCCGCUCAACGGCUGGGCUGCUUCGGAUACUACAGUUCUAGGGACCGGUAGAGGCUGGUAGAAUUGCAGGUGUAGCGGUGGAAUGCGUAGAGAUCUGCAAGAAUACCCGUGGCGAAGGCGGCUCUCUGGCCCGGACCUGACGCUGAGGCGCGAAAGCGUGGGGAGCAAAC
rnacentral:rRNA from 1 species